UCGGACAGUUAUGUAUCGGUUCAAUACGGGACGAACAUUUAACGGCCAAAUAUGGGACGACUCCGUAUUUUACGGGAAGGGUGGCAACCUGAUUCAUACAGUUUUAGGGAUCCAGUGUGACAUGUCCCUGAGGUGGUUCCAUCAGGAGUGUGUGGGAAGCCCAAUUUAAAAAAACUUAUCAGUGCUUUGCGUGUUUGCCUUAGGUUCCUGAGUUUGUUGUGGUGUGCUAGUUUAUGUAUGGUGUAUAAUGGUUAAUAAGUUACAUUUUGAAAACUAUGUUUGAUAUUUAUCCUUACAGGACUUUAAUAUAAGGUAGCUAUGGAAAGAUAGUUUAAAUCCCAAGGCCCCUUACCUUUGUGAAAUGAAGAGCAAAUGUUUCCAAAGCAAAGUUAAAGAGUUGCUGGUAAACUGAUAUAUUCCCAUGUUAUAGAGUGGGAGCAGAUUAUAUCAGGUGGCUAAAAUAUUUGGUUCCCCUCCUUUCACUUUGGCAAAUAAUUUCAGGCAACUGAAAUAUCCAUUCUCUAAACAUAAUUAUAGAACAUAAGGUAAAGGAUUCAUAUGUUAAGGUAAAAGGCUAGAACAACACUGUUUGAGUUACUGAUGGUAUUUUAUUUGUAUAUUUUGUAGUUCUUACAGUGUGUUCACAUACAAACGCUGUUGAAUAAAGGACUGUGAACCAUCA